GUGAGGAAUAUUGCGCAAUGGAGGCAACUCUGACGCAGCCAUGUCGCGUGCAGGAAGAAGGCGCUACGCGUUGUAAACUGCUUUUAACCGGGAAGAAACCCCAGGACGUGUCCUGGGUUGACGGUACCGGAGGAAUAAGCACCGGCUAACUUCGUGCCAGCAGCCGCGGUAAUACGAAGGGUGCAAGCGUUAUCCGGAUUCAUUGGGUUUAAAGGGUGCGUAGACGGAGCGUUAAGUCAGUGGUGAAAUCCUGCAGCUUAACUGUAGACUUGCCAUUGAUACUGGCGCUCUUGAGUGCGCUUGAAGUGGGCGGAAUGUGCCGUGUAGCGGUGAAAUGCUUAGAUAUGGCACAGAACACCAAUUGCGAAGGCAGCUCACUAAGGCGAUACUGACGCUGAGGCACGAAAGCGUGGGGAUCGAACAGGAUUAGAUACCCUGGUAGUCC
rnacentral:rRNA from 1 species